UACAGAGGGGGCAAGCGUUGUUCGGAAUUACUGGGCGUAAAGGGCGCGUAGGCGGCCUGCUAAGUCGGACGUGAAAUCCCUCGGCUCAACCGGGGAACUGCGUCCGAUACUGGUGGGCUCGAAUCCGGGAGAGGGAUGUGGAAUUCCAGGUGUAGCGGUGAAAUGCGUAGAUAUCUGGAGGAACACCGGUGGCGAAGGCGGCAUCCUGGACCGGUAUUGACGCUGAUGCGCGAAAGCCAGGGGAGCAAACGGG
rnacentral:rRNA from 1 species